GUAAUGAUUUGCCCUAGACAAAUGCUUGUAGACUGUUUAUGAUUGCUUCUUGUCUUUCAGUAGAGUGGAAGUAGAAACCAAGAGAUGGAGUGGACACCAAGAUGUGCUCCCAGAUCCUUCCAGGGCCUGAUGUGAGACUGACCAGUUUACAGUUCCCUGGUCUUCCCUUUGUUUGCAUUCUCAUGGAAUGGUUUUUAUUCCUCUAAGUGGUUUUAAGUCCAGCAGAGCUUUGGCAUUCCUGACAUUAUCAAGACUGAAGUAUUAACUCUAUCCUGAUACAAGGAAGAGCAUAGGGAGACAGGAUUUCUUGAGACCUUUGCCUGUGGAUGGUGAACUCUUGCAGCUCAACCUGAAGACACAGGAAGACCCACCAGGCCUUACAGCUUGACACAGAAGCUUUUCAAGAGGUGAACGUGAUUUGCUCCACAGUGAGCUGUAUUCCUGAGAGAGGGACUGAAAGGAAAAGGGCAAAUUAUCCUCACAGUGAUGUGGAAAGCAGGAAAAGAGCUGGCAGGAAAAUUAUCACCGGUACUUUAUUUAUGCCUUACAAAAUUGAUUGUUUGAAUCACAGAAUGGUUUGGGUCAGAAGAGAAUUUAAAGAUCAUCUGAUUCCAGCCAUCCUGCCAUGGGCAGGGACAUUUUCCACUAGACCAGGCUGCUCAAAGAUCUGUCCAACCUGGCCUUGAACACUCCCAGGGAUCAAGGAUCCACAGCUUCCUUGGGCACCCAUGCCAGGACCUCACCACCCUCACAGUGAAGAAUUUCUUCCUAAUAUCUGCUCUAAACCUGACCUCUGCCAAUUUAAAGAAACUGAGACUCCUUCCUGUGACUGGUGCUGAUUGCUGAUUUCACCUCCACUGAACAAGGAGCUUCCAAGGGUUGGUGUUCUUGACUUCAUCUUCUCAAGAUGACACUAAAUCAUGGGACACCUGAACAGAACAGUUUUGGUUCACACUGCCAGGGCUGCAAACUGCAAACUCAGUGUACUGAGAGCAGGAGGCAUAAAUCCAAGGUUGUCCAAAGUGCAAGAGGCACAACAAAUCCUCCUGGAGAGUUUUACAAUGGAGAACAAGCUUUACCAGAGCCACACACGUGUAUUUUAGUGUGAUGUGAUGGAUAGAAGUAAAAAAGAAGAGAUAAGAGUUGUGAUCUCCCUGGUCCCUCCAAUCUGCCACAAUACAGUCUGUGGAACAAAACACUAGGAGGCUCAGUUUUCCCAGGCUACAUCUGGACACUGGAAACAGAAAUCCUGAGCCAGUGAAGAUAUUUCUGCCAAAAGAUGUUUAGCAGUAGUAAAUUGAAUUUUCAUUUUCAGAAGACUUUAAUUUUUUUUUUGCACAAUUUCAAAAUAAUGCCUCUCUAUGUACUUGGAUUUAAUUUUUAAUUUUUAAGGAAAAAGAGGUCUUCCCCUACCUUAAAAUUUUAAAAAUUUGCUAGAAAGCAGACAAAACAUCUUUUUGGCUAACAACUGGAAAUUUUUGAAGAAUUACCUUUGAUUCUGAUCAAAUGCUUCUUGCAAAUGCUUUGAAAAUGUCAAGCAGUGUGUUCCCUGUGCUGUGAUCUAUAUGUCUGUCAUGGACAACAAAUAUAAAAUUCUUAAAAUUCUUCUUCAGAAAGAUUUUUGGCCACUGUGACCCUUCUUGUUCUCUCCCUUAAAGUGGAAAUGAUGAAUAGCUCAUUCAAAUCUAUGUAUUUUUUUAGUGUAAGUGAAAGGAAAAUCAAACUGCAUGUAUCUGAUAUACAUUAACUUUAAGUCUGCUAUUAAACCACAAGUCGUGAAAGACUAUGGGAAAUCUGAACCCCUGAUGAUUUUUUGCUAAUUCUAUAAAGAGUCUAUUUAAUUUCCUCAGGAAAACAAGGCAAAUCUUCCCUUGAGGGCAUAUACAUUUUUCAAUGGGCUACAAGUGAGUCCCUAAGGGCUCAGUUUUCACUGAUCACAGUUUGGUCUGUUGGAUAUUGCUAAGGGAAAUUUAGUGUGAUUGUCUGUGAUCACUGGCAUGUGCUCAUACCCAUUAGGAGACCUAUUCAGCCCACUGACAUUUGGUUCCUAGGAGAAUAGGGUAGCUGCUCUCAAAACAUUUUGAGUUUGCUGUAUUUUUUUUUGUUGUUCCUUUCCCU